rnacentral:rRNA from 1 species
CAAUAGCGUAUAUUAAAGUUGUUGCAGUUAAAAAGCUCGUAGUUGGAUUUCUGGUGGGAGCGAUCGGUCUGGCGCUUAGCGCGAGUACUUGCAUCGUCUCCGGCCAUCCUUGGGGAGAGUCUGUCUGGCAUUAGGUUGUCGGGCAGAGGAUCCUCAUCGUUUACUGUGAAAAAAUUAGAGUGUUCAAAGCAGGCUUAUGCCGUUGAAUAUAUUAGCAUGGAACAAUAAGAUAGGACUUUGGUACUAUUUUGUUGGUUUGCGCACCAAAGUAAUGAUUAAUAGGGACAGUUGGGGGUAUUCGUAUUCCGUUGUCAGAGGUGAAAUUCUUGGAUUUACGGAAGACGAACUACUGCGAAAGCAUUUACCAAGGAUGUUUUCAUUA